CGCCUAAACCCCGACGUGUCGGGGCAUGGUGUAUAAGACUCAUCGAAGAAACUGAACCCUGCGUUCAGCGUCUCUUCGAUGAGCCAUAUUCCGAAAGGAGUAUGGGGCUUUCAAAAGCCC
rnacentral:sRNA from 1 species